rnacentral:misc_RNA from 1 species
UUGUAUAACCGAGGUGGCAAGGGCUGUCGCUGACCUUUCAAAGGUUGUGCACGCCCAAGCACACUCUCACACAUCCAUCUCACCCCUUUUGUGCAUCACCGCGUAGGCCCUCCCUUUGCAAGGAGGGCUUGCGUUUUCACAUAAAAACUUUUGAUACAGUAUAGAAUGUUCCUUUUUAUUUUGCGGUCACACGCAAUCAAUA